rnacentral:rRNA from 1 species
UACGUAGGGUGCGAGCGUUAAUCGGAAUGACUGGGGGUAAAGGGUGCGUAGGCGGGUAUUUAAGGCAGGGGGGAAAUCCUGGAGCUCAACUCCAGAACUGCCUUUGAUACUGAGGACCUUGAGUUCGGGAGAGGUGAGUGGAACUGCGAGUGUAGAGGUGAAAUUCGUAGAUAUUCGCAAGAACACCAGUGGCGAAGGCGGCUCACUGGCCCGAUGCUGACGCUGAGGCACGAAAGCGUGGGGAGCAAACAGG